UACGGAGGGUGCAAGCGUUAUCCGGAUUCACUGGGCGUAAAGCGCGCGUAGGCGGCCACUUAAGUCGGAUGUGAAAGCCCCUGGCUCAACUGGGGAAGUGCACCCGAAACUGAAUGGCUUGAAUGCAAAAGAGGGUCGCGGAAUUCCCGGUGUAGAGGUGAAAUUCGUAGAUAUCGGGAGGAACACCGGUGGCGAAGGCGGCGACCUGGGUUGACAUUGACGCUGAGGCGCGAAAGCGUGGGGAGCAAACAGG
rnacentral:rRNA from 1 species